rnacentral:rRNA from 1 species
GACGAACGCUGGCGGCGUGCCUAAUACAUGCAAGUGGGACGCAAGGGAACACGCUGUGCUUGCACACCGUGUUUUCUUGAGUCGCGAACGGGUGAGUAACGCGUAGGUAACCUGCCUAUUAGCGGGGGAUAACUAUUGGAAACGAUAGCUAAUACCGCAUAAUAUUAAUUAUUGCAUGAUAAUUGAUUGAAAGAUGCAAGCGCAUCACUAGUAGAUGGACCUGCGUUGUAUUAGCUAGUUGGUAAGGUAAGAGCUUACCAAGGCGACGAUACAUAGCCGACCUGAGAGGGUGAUCGGCCACACUGGGACUGAGACACGGCCCAGACUCCUACGGGAGGCAGCAGUAGGGAAUCUUCGGCAAUGGACGAAAGUCUGACCGAGCAACGCCGCGUGAGUGAAGAAGGUUUUCGGAUCGUAAAGCUCUGUUGUAAGUCAAGAACGUGUGUGAGAGUGGAAA